rnacentral:rRNA from 1 species
UCGCUAGUAAUCGCGGAUCAGCAUGCCGCGGUGAAUACGUUCCCGGGCCUUGUACACACCGCCCGUCACACCACGAGAGUUUGCAACACCCGAAGUCGGUGAGGGAACCUCACGGACCCAGCCGCCGAAGGUGGGGCAGAUGAUUGGGGUGAAGUCGUAACAAGGUAUCCCUACCGGAAGGUGGGGAUGGAUCACCUCCUUUCUACGGAG